GGGGGCGGCGGAGGCGGCUGUGGAGGACGGCGGCGGGAUAACGCUGGAGUUCCAGAGGCAGAAGGCCAAGGAACUGCAGCAGUAUUUCAAGCAGAAGAAGCUCGAGGAGUCCAAUCAAGGCCCUUUCUUUGGGUUCAUCGGCAAGAACGAAAUCUCCAAUGGAAGAUAAAGUUCAUAGUCGAUGGAACAUGGAGGAUCGAUCCAUUGCGGCCAAUUGUUCAUAACAAUGGAUAUGAGAAUAACUUGCUCAUUAUCACAAAGCCAUCCGAAAGAGAGAGCUGACACAAACAUUUACACGAGAAGAUUCGUUGUCUUAUAACCGAUGGAGGAUGAUUACAUAGAUCCUUCUGCCCUUUUCUUUUACACAAUUGUAAACUUUUAUGCCAGGCUUUUGAUAUGUAUAUACCACAUUGAUUGGCGUCUUUUCAACAAAUUUUAGGCCUUUGAAUCAA